UCUAAGCAGAGCCCUUGAAUGGUAAAGCCGCGAAUGGCUCAUUACAACAGCCACAGUUUAUUGGGUCUCCAUUUACUUGGAUAACUGAGCUUAUUGUUGAGCUAAUACACGCACCAAAGCUUCGACCUCACGGGAGGAGCGCAUUUAUUAGAACAAAACCAAUCGGACUUCGGUCCGUCCAUUGGUGAAUCUAAAUAACUUAGCCGAUCGCAUGGUCUCGCACCGGCGACUCACCUUUCAAAUGUCUGCCUUAUCACCUUUCGAUGGUAGUUUAUACGCCUACCAUGGGUUUUACGGGUAACGGAGAAUAAGGGUUCGACUCCGGAGAGGGAGCCUGAGAAACGGCUACCACAUCCAAGGAAGGCAGCAGGCACGCAAAUUACCCACUCCCGGCACGGGGAGGUAGUGACGAAAAAUAACGAGACGGUUCUCUAUGAGGUCCGCCAUCGGAAUGGGUACAAUCUAAA
rnacentral:rRNA from 1 species